UACGUAGGUGGCAAGCGUUGUCCGGAUUUACUGGGUGUAAAGGGCGUGCAGCCGGAGAGGCAAGUCAGAUGUGAAAUCCGCGGGCUCAACCCGCGAACUGCAUUUGAAACUGCUUCCCUUGAGUAUCGGAGAGGUAACCGGAAUUCCUAGUGUAGCGGUGAAAUGCGUAGAUAUUAGGAAGAACACCAGUGGCGAAGGCGGGUUACUGGACGACAACUGACGGUGAGGCGCGAAAGCGUGGGGAGCAAACAGG
rnacentral:rRNA from 1 species